GGGUCAGUAGGUUGGUCGUGCCACCGGUACGUACUGGCCUCACUAAUUCCUCCUUCCUGAAGAACCGUAAUGCCAUUAAUUUGGUGUUGCGGGGAAACAGGACUGUUACUUUGAAAAAAUUAGAGUGUUUAAAGCAAGCUAACGCUUGAAUACAUUAGCAUGGAAUAAUGAAAUAGGACGAUCGAUCCUAUUUUGUUGGUUUCUAGGAUUGACGUA
rnacentral:rRNA from 1 species